GCCUGGGGAGUACGGCCGCAAGGUUAAAACUCAAAUGAAUUGACGGGGGCCCGCACAAGCGGUGGAGCAUGUGGUUUAAUUCGAUGCAACGCGAAGAACCUUACCUACUCUUGACAUCCAGAGAAUUGAGCAGAGAUGCUUUAGUGCCUUCGGGAACUCUGAGACAGGUGCUGCAUGGCUGUCGUCAGCUCGUGUUGUGAAAUGUUGGGUUAAGUCCCGCAACGAGCGCAACCCUUAUCCUUUGUUGCCAGCGAUUCGGUCGGGAACUC
rnacentral:rRNA from 1 species